GUGGGGAAUCUUGCACAAUGGGCGAAAGCCUGAUGCAGCAACGCCGCGUGCGGGAAGAAGGCCCUCGGGUUGUAAACCGCUUUCAGAAGGAACGAAACUGACGGUACUUUCAGAAGAAGGUGCGGCCAACUACGUGCCAGCAGCCGCGGUGACACGUAGGCACCAAGCGUUGUCCGGAUUUAUUGGGCGUAAAGAGCUCGUAGGCGGUUCAGUAAGUCGGGUGUGAAAACUUUGGGCUUAACCCAAAGCGUGCAUCCGAUACUGCUGUGACUUGAGUACGGUAGGGGAGCGGGGAAUUCCUAGUGUAGCGGUGAAAUGCGCAGAUAUUAGGAGGAACACCGGUGGCGAAGGCGCCGCUCUGGGCCGAAACUGACGCUGAGGAGCGAAAGCAUGGGUAGCAAACAGGAUUAGAUACCCGAGUAGUCC
rnacentral:rRNA from 1 species